AAUAAAUUAUUUGAAUAUUUUACUACCAAUAUUAAAUUAUUUUUAACCGUGAUUUAAGAUGACUAUCAACGACCGAGCUCCGGACGGCGUAUUUUGCAGCCCAGCGCGUAUGCGCACUAAUAUAUGUAACUGAAAUCAUAAUAGUAAGUAGGGAUUGUAUAAAAGAACAACACCAUGGUUUAAGGGGAUUGAGAGCGGUGGUGUUAUGUUAAGACGAGGACAGAAAAUCACCGCUUCCAAUCCCCCCAAGAAUUAAGAUCUUUAAUCGUGAAUAUAACACCCGUACAAAGGUACACAGGUAUAAAUUUUAGUGGGUAUAUUAUGAUCUAAGCUGGGAUGCGCAGACCGGACAUAUUUUCGUCGGCCGUGACACGUUUUUUCGACGCACAAACGCACAUGGUUGUCAACAUUCUACCGUGUCAUUUACCGAGUAGGUACCACGCACAUAGUAGAUACCAUGAAGAUUUAAAAAUAUACGGACACACUUUACACGAUGGGUUAGCCAAUGUUGUAGGUGAGAAGUUGAGAAGGCAGAGGAAAAAUUGAAUGUACUAUAUCUGUAUUGUAUACGCA